rnacentral:rRNA from 1 species
UACAGAGGUCUCAAGCGUUGUUCGGAUUCAUUGGGCGUAAAGGGUGCGUAGGCGGCGUGGUAAGUCGGAUGUGAAAUCUCGGAGCUUAACUCCGAAACUGCAUUCGAUACUGCCGUGCUUGAGGACUGGAGAGGAGACUGGAAUUUACGGUGUAGCGGUGAAAUGCGUAGAUAUCGUAAGGAAGACCAGUGGCGAAGGCGGGUCUCUGGACAGUUCCUGACGCUGAGGCACGAAGGCCAGGGAGCAAACGGG